CAAUUGCUAAACUAUUCUGCGUUGGAUGUACCCGUUGUUCUUCACCGACUGAAUCGAGCUCAUGGAAAUUGGAGGCUCUUGGGUCCAUUGUUGCCGCGUCUAAGAUCACUACCACGGAAAACGGAGCAUUUUAUACAAAAAAAAAAACAGGUUAAACCCAGAACAAUGUCCGUUCAAGAAUCCAAAUAUAAAUACAUAAUAUUAUGCAAAGGUUAGGUAAUAACUAUAACAAUACAAAAGAAAAAUAUGAAAGAGAAGAAAAAAAUUAAUUAAUGAGUCAAUCUUAUCAUAGAGAAGGCAAAAGAAAAGAAAGAAAAAAGAAAAAGUUCUGACCUAUUUUUCUAUUAUGUGGUAAACUGUAAAUAAGUAAAAACAAGAGAAGAUUACAAAUCAGAUAGCAAUUAUCGAUCCAUAGUCUACCGGUCAGUGUCUUCUUUAAGGAAUCAUGUGAGAACAUUUGCUUAGCUCCUUCCUACUGCAGAAGACAUAGACGAAAACUUGAAGAAGCCAGUCUGGCUAGUCAUACACUCGCAGCGGCACCAGAAUUUCUUAGUCCGCCAGGGGUCACAUUUUGCUUACUGAUAAUCUCCAAAUGUUCGUAAGAGGAUAUGACAUAAACCACAAGAACCUUUUGCCUUUACUUUUAGUCCUAGGGUACCAUACCAUUUAUCGUGUAAACCAAAACUUUCUUUGGAGUCACAUCAUCCCAAGAGGCUCUUUAACUGCUGUCAGGUACCUGAAUGAUGCUUUCGUUGUUCCUUGUGUUGAUUUUAUUGAAGACAAUUUUAUUCUGGUGCAUGAUAAAUGCCAACAAUCAUUCCUGCCUUGCAGUGCCUUAAGUCCAGAUGCGAAUCCAGUUGAACAUGUGAAGUCGUGCUCCAUUCAUUUUAAAUGAGCUUCAACAAUCCCUAUUAGAGGAAUGGGAACUUAUCGUUCAAGAACACAUCUGCUAUGUAAUUUUAGACAAGUCAAGGAGGAUGCAAUAAAUGGCUCUGGCACACGUUAUUAAAAAAGCUGGGAUUUACUUUUUUUAUAAAUACGCUUCAAUUUUCAUAAAUAAAGAAGUUAGUAUUGUUGUAAAGGUAUAGUUUUCUUUGUAGAAAUGAAAGUUUAGAAUACCUUCGUCAUAUGUUUAGAGGAACGUCUGGAAAAUAUAGAACUGACUAGCUUUUUGUUUGCUGUUCAGUGAAAAAAACAUAUGCGUGUUAAAACUGGAAAUAUUGCUGAUACGUCAGAAUGUCUCAGGUUUUGCAAAUGCGACAACAUUGCAAGCGGCAAACACUGAUGAUGAUCGAUACUCGGCGGAGGAUCAUAUGACACUCACGCGCACACCACGUGGUAGGCUCAGCUGAUGGGGUUAUCGACGACACUAGCGGAACGAAAGGUUUUUAAUAGCGUAUUUUCAGUGUCAUCGAUCUCAAAUUAUAUAUCGAAUA